rnacentral:rRNA from 1 species
GACGAACGCUGGCGGCGUGCUUAACACAUGCAAGUCGUGGGCACCAGCAAUGGUGACCGGCGAACGGGUGCGUAACACGUGAGCGACCUACCGAUUUGUGGGGGAUAGCCGGCCCAACGGCCGGGUAAUACCGCAUACGCCGAGCUUGCCGCAUGGCUUGCUCGGGAAACCUCCGGGGCAAAUCGAGGGGCUCGCGGCCUAUCAGCUAGUUGGCGAGGUAAUGGCUCACCAAGGCGACGACGGGUAGCUGGUCUGAGAGGAUGGCCAGCCACAUUGGGACUGAGAAACGGCCCAGACUCCUACGGGAGGCAGCAGUGGGGAAUCUUGCGCAAUGGCCGAAAGGCUGACGCAGCGACGCCGCGUGUGGGAUGAAGCUCUUCGGGGU